rnacentral:rRNA from 1 species
UAGCCCUACGGGACGCAGCAGUGAGGAAUAUUGGUCAAUGGUCGGGAGACUGAACCAGCCAAGCCGCGUGAGGGAGGAAGGUACAAAGUAUCGUAAACCUCUUUUGUCAGGGAACAAAGGCGGGGACGUGUCCCCGGAUGAGUGUACCUGAAGAAAAAGCAUCGGCUAACUCCGUGCCAGCAGCCGCGGUAAUACGGAGGAUGCGAGCGUUAUCCGGAUUUAUUGGGUUUAAAGGGGGCGCAGGCGGUCUGUUAAGUCAGCGGUCAAAGCCCGGGGCUCAACCCCGGCCCGCCGCUGAAACUGGG